rnacentral:snRNA from 2 species
AGCUUUGCGCAGUGGCAGUAUCGUAGCCAACGAGGUUUAUCCGAGGUGCGAUUAUUGCUAAUUGAAAAUAUUCACAUCAAGCCAUGUUGAAUUUGGGGUGCUGAAUGACUAUUAUUACUUAACCUCAUUUUAUUUUAUUUUUUAAUUUAAAUUCAAUUU